CUGAGUCACGUGCUCAAACAACCCUUCUGUGGACCUGAAUUAGAACCGUUGCCUCGGCGGGCGGUCCCCCUACCAAAGCCACCCACGUGUGGUGGGUUAGGGGACCAGACAGUCCGGCACGCUUAAGGCGUCCGGCGCCAGCCGCUGGCCCCAACCAAUUAAACUCUAGUAACCUUUACCUUCUGAGUUUUAAUAUCUAAAAAUAAGUCA
rnacentral:misc_RNA from 1 species